AGGGACACCCUCGUACACGCAUAUCACAAAACAGGCAACCACUCGAAAAAUGACGCAGCAGACAAAGGCGCUUGUAGUGAUUGCGUGUGUUGGUGCGUGAGGGUGCGUUUUUUUUUUUUUGGGGGGGGGGUCUAAUUUUUUUUACCAUAAUCAGCUACCUAAUUGCCCAACAGUAAAUUAUUCUAAGCUCUCAGCUGGUAUUUCUGUCGCUGGUAUGGAGUACUUGCGCGCCUUCAUCCGUUUUUUUUUCUCCACGCCCUCGCAGGAACGGAUUUCUCGAACGUCAGGAUUUCUGAUAUCACUGUUGGUAACGCCCGUAUCGGUCAUACCACGCACCUGGAUGGGCAGCUGAGCGUCUUCAGCACAACUGGAACCAGCCCUGUUCUGGAUAUAUUCGUGCACAGCUCCAGUGGAAAGCCGCUGCCCUGCAUCUACAGCGUCUUGCCGAAGGAACUGAAGCUUUGUGAUGCCGACACGUAUGCGGAGAAAGAAUUCGGCGCUUCAUGGAAUAGCACCUGCCCGUUGAAACAUGGCACCUACAGCUUUAGCCUUUCGUUCUACGUACCCGACGCAAUGACGACAAGGUCCUGCAUUGGGGAUGGCCACAUCCUUGUAACUCUGAGGGUGAAGGAUGAAGGCUACAUUUUCGAGUGUGUGUCCUUCCCGGUAAUAGUUGACCUCUACUGAAGUUACCACUAGCCCUGGAAUGGUGUCGGUCCAGCUUAUUUCUUACUCGUAGGGUGUGCGCAGGUGUCCUUGACUUACAUGCAAAUUAUAGUUGCCACAUAGCAACUUCUACAGUGGGAUAAUUUACGUCUGGAAAAAUAAAAUGCAGAUGCUCUCGGCAACACAAUUUUACUUGCUCAUCUUCGCACCAUUUGGAGAAACCAGUUCCUGGAAGAAACAUUGUUGCCACGCAUGAGCGUUCCUCUCA